UUAUCCUAACCGCUGAAAGCAUCUAAGCGGGAAGCCGGCUUCGAGAUGAGAUUUCCUUGCCCCUUUGAGGGUGUGAGGCCCCCAGCUAGAACACUGGGUUGAUAG
rnacentral:rRNA from 1 species